AGCUGAGACAAGAUGCUGAGCAGUUGAAAUCAAUGACCCGAGGAGCUGAUCCCCUGCCAAAGGCUACACCAGCUCCUGGGAGGAAUCCACCACUCUGGCCAGCGGUCCGGCACUGCGGAAGCUGCAAGUCAGAUAAUGGGCGCCUAUGAAGCUUACAUUGAGGGAACACUCAAGUGACUUGAAAACAAAGAUCUGCCCUCAGGGGACUUGCUGUCUUCACUCAGACAGAGUCCUCCAUCAAGCAGACACCAAAACGGAAUGUGAUGUGCAAGAAACUUACUGGGGGAAAUGCUAAUGAAAGCUAAAGGACGAAGGAGCUGGAGCAGGUGGGGAGAGUCUUCAGACUUGACGCAAGUCUGACACCUGUGAAAGGAGAGCCGGAAGGAAGAGCAUCAGGCGCCAUGCAGGUCCGAGAAGGUCUCAGCCAGGCCGACAGAGAGCCUCCCAAGCCAAGGCUGCCAGUUGCAGGAGCCCCAUUUGGGGCAGGAACAGACCAGCCCCAGUCCCUGCAGUGUACUCACUGGCUGAGGACAGACUGGGAGAAACGGGAACGCCAUGGUGGAUAUAAAAGGCAGCAGCUGGAGGCGGUCAGCCAGUUACAUUUCCCACGGCAGGAGCUUUGGAAGGAGAUGAGGAGAUGCAGUGGAAUCUGUCUCACUGAAACCUGGAUUCACAUCCUGGCUCAGCCACUUACCAGCUGUGUGACCUUGGAUUCACUUGUUAAGCUGUAAUCACCAAACUAGUGAUGAGCCCUGCUCACACUGCACUGUUUGAAACCACUGAGCCCGUCUUCAGGCUGCCUGUUCCACCUUCUGGACAUGGUCUUCCCAUGGUGCAUCUGGCUACCUCUGUUCGUGUGCUGCUUCCUCCAAGAAGCCUUCCCUGACCAUUACCUUUUCCCCCACACAUCCCACCUCAGGAGUGAGGUCUAUCGCCCGCAACAUCCUAGGUACAAACUUGGGGAGCUUUCGAUACAUUGUGGAAUGAUCUAUUAAUAGGCUCAUCUUCUCCUUAGAUCUGCCCUGUCCGAUAUGGUAGCCACCAGCCAUAUGUGGCUACUGAGCACGUAAACUGGGUCUGGUCUGAAUGGAGAUGUCUUGUAAGCUACAUACCACAUGUGAAAUGCUUAGUAUGA